UGAGAACUUUGAAGGCCG
rnacentral:snRNA from 1 species